rnacentral:rRNA from 1 species
UUGAACGCUGGCUGCAUGCUUAACACAUGCAGGUCGAACGAGAAAGUACUUUCGGGUGCGAGUAUAGUGGCGGACGGGUGAGUAAUGCAUAGGAAUCUGCCCAGUAGUGGGGGACAACUCGGGGGAAACUCGAGCUAAUACCGCAUAUUUCCUACGGGAGAAAGCCUUCGGGCGCUAUUGGAUGAGCCUAUGUCAGAUUAGCUUGUUGGUAGGGUAAUGGCCUACCAAGACUGUGAUCUAUAGCUGAUUUGAGAGGAUGAUCAGCCACAUUGGGACUGAGACACGGCCCAAACUCCUACGGGAGGCAGCAGUGGGAAUCUUGC